GCAGACACAUUCCAGCCAAUCAGCAGCAGACCCUCCCUCCCAGACCCUCCCACCUCCUGGACCGCAUCCAUUGUGAAGCUGCAUUCUUAGUGAGCUGUCCAGGAGGUGGGAGGGUCUGGGAGGGAGGGUCUGCUGCUGAUUGGCUGGAAUGUGUCUG